AGAUUGAACGCUGGCGGCAUGCCUUACACAUGCAAGUCGAACGGCAGCACGGGAGCAAUCCUGGUGGCGAGUGGCGAACGGGUGAGUAAUACAUCGGAACGUGCCCAAUCGUGGGGGAUAACGCAGCGAAAGCUGUGCUAAUACCGCAUAAGAUCUACGGAUGAAAGCAGGGGAUCGCAAGACCUUGCGCGAAUGGAGCGGCCGAUGGCAGAUUAGGUAGUUGGUGAGGUAAAGGCUCACCAAGCCUUCGAUCUGUAGCUGGUCUGAGAGGACGACCAGCCACACUGGGACUGAGACACGGCCCAGACUCCUACGGGAGGCAGCAGUGGGGAAUUUUGGACAAUGGGCGAAAGCUGAUCCAGCCAUGCCGCGUGCAGGAUGAAGGCCUUCGGUUGUAACUGCUUUGUACGGAACGAAAGUCUCUUUACUAAGUAAGAGGAUACAUAGUACGUACCGUAAGUAAUAAGACACG
rnacentral:rRNA from 1 species